CACCGCGGUUAUACGAGAGGCCCAAGCUGACAACCAUCGGCGUAAAGCGUGGUUAAAUUUUCUAAUAAAAUAAAGCCGAAUGCUUUCUUAACUGUUAUACGUACUCGAGAGCCAGAAGCCCCCCUACGAAAGUAGCUUUAAUUAUAUUGAACCCACGAAAGCUAGGAUA
rnacentral:rRNA from 1 species